AAAACACGCAUUUUCCUCCUCCCCUAGACCCUUCCUUUUUCACACAAGUCAACACAAGCCGGGGUGUUAAAGAAGACUGGAAGAGGGGAACGCUGAGGUGCCGGCGAGCUGCGGCUCCGCUGAGGCCGUCGCCAGCGCCGCAGCGGAGUCUCCCGCCCCCUUCAGCGCUGCCGAGAGGCUACCCCUUCUAGCCCGAGCUGUCCGUCCUCCGCCGCGUCCGGGGCCGCCUCCCUCCAAGUCCCUGAAUCCCCAUCCCGCGACUGACACUCCCCGAGCGCCUCGACUGCCUCUCUCGUUGCCAUCCCCUCAAACCUACCCUCACUUUUAAAACACAAAACUACCCCCCAAAUGGUCCUUGCAGUGCCGAUUGCACCUCCGAUGAAUCUGACCCUAAAUGCCAACUCCUUUCCCUUGGAGUUUCUGCCGUGCCAACUAGUCCUCUGGGCCAUAAACCUCGCUGCUGCUAGUCGUUAA